UCCAAUAUUGGUUUUGCAGCAUAGGAACAGAUAAAAAGUAUUGUUGGAGGACAUCUUGAAGGACUAGAGCCCAUUACAAAAUUAAAGCUUUCUUGUAGAACAACUCCAAUGUUGAACACUAGAGGGCUAGAGCCCUGACCCGAAUGAGGGAAGGACAACCAUACUCUGAUGAACGAACAGACAGACUUAGAAUAAUAGACUUACAUUACACAUAACAUAAAUUUUAUAUAAAUAUUCUACAAAUUCAUUAAACCACUCCUCUUCCUGAUGGCUCAGAUCACCGCUUCUUUUGUGUUGUUUUAGCACGCACUAAAUCUGAUGCUGACAACAUUCCAGAUUUACCAACAUCAAGAAUUCAACGCAAGGGAGAGAUCUUCUUGGCUAAUCUUCCCCAUCUCUUUCAGCUUUGUUAUGAUGGACUCGGCAGACCUGUCACCAACAACUCCAUCAUUAUCAAUAUUAACAGUCUCCAGAUCAUGAUUGGUCGUCAUCCUCCAGGAAUGAAUCCAAUUAAUCAGUGCCUUUUGUCUGCUUUCAAUGAAUACCUCGGCAACGUAGAGAAAAAACUGGCCCAAGCCAAGAGUAGUGCUCAGUAUCCAAAAUAUACCAAAAGCACGCCCACCUUUAGUUGAGAAGCUCUCAUUUUCAAAGCCUAGGGUCGUGACAGUUGUAAUAACACAAAAUAAGGAAUCAAUAGCGUCCAGACCUUCAACUACAAAUAAGAAUAUGGCUCCAAUUAUCAUAAGCACUGAAAGAAUGGCCAUGGCCAAAAGGCACUUGAACAUAGGUCUGUUGAAUUCUGUCUCCUCCGUGAUUUUAGAUGGAUCAUUCUCUUGCUGCUUAUUUAGAGCUUUAACCAGCAUUAUUUCCUGCUUCUCUACCAAGUAGUCUGCAACUUUUUUCAUUAUUAAUGCCACAAGUGCCAUCCCUGUGAAGACAAAAACAAAGACAAGUAUCUUUGCAAAGCUAGUAUUAGGCUUUAGGUCCCCAUAUCCAACGGUGGUCAUAGUCACAACACAGAAAUAUAGAGCAUCAAGAAUUGGACUUGUUUUCUUCCCUUUGAGAUCACCUAUGGCAAAGUAAAAGCAUAAGGUGCCAACACCCAAAUAGACCGCCAAGAUCACAGCCACUUCCCUAAAACUGCUGUGGAGUUUCCCAAAAAUGGAUUCAGCACUUGGAAGUUUGCCGCCAAAUUCUGAAGAAACAAACUUUGCCAGAGGAGCACUUUUAAAAUUGAGAAAUUUUCUUUUGUUAGGAGCACGUGCAUUAUUUGUGUGAAGGUUAGGAUUCACUAAUCCAGACAUCAAGGGCUGUUUUGCACCAUUCGACGCCAUUAAGAGUCUUUGGAG
rnacentral:misc_RNA from 1 species